rnacentral:rRNA from 1 species
UACGUAGGUGGCAAGCGUUGUCCGGAAUUACUGGAUGUAAAGGGAGCGCAGGCGGGAAGCCAAGUCAGCUGUGAAAACUACGGGCUUAACUUGUAGACUGCAGUUGAAACUGGUUUUCUUGAGUGAAGUAGAGGUUGGCGGAAUUCCGAGUGUAGCGGUGAAAUGCGUAGAUAUUCGGAGGAACACCGGUGGCGAAGGCGGCCAACUGGGCUUUAACUGACGCUGAGGCUCGAAAGUGUGGGGAGCAAACAGG